rnacentral:rRNA from 1 species
UACGUAGGGGGCGAGCGUUGUCCGGAAUUAUUGGGCGUAAAGAGCUCGUAGGUGGCUUGUUGCGUCUGUCGUGAAAGCCCGUGGCUUAACUACGGGUCUGCGGUGGAUACGGGCAGGCUAGAGGCUGGUAGGGGCAAGCGGAAUUCCUGGUGUAGCGGUGAAAUGCGCAGAUAUCAGGAGGAACACCUGUGGCGAAGGCGGCUUGCUGGGCCAGUUCUGACGCUGAGGAGCGAAAGCGUGGGGAGCGAACAGG